UGGAUUUCUUGUUUUGAUUUUUUUUUAUUCAUUUCUAUUGGACGCCAUCCAAAAAUACUAGAAGAAUGACAUUUAGUCUCUUAGCCACAUUCAAAGGUGUUUAGUGUAAAUUUCUGGGAGUAAGAUCAAUGUCAGAACCAACCAACACAGAUAGUAGCAUUGUGAAUAAGCUGAAAACAUGACACUCGGGGUUUUGAAAAUAUUUUUUCCUGCAACAGAGACAUGUAAUUGCUAUAUGUACAUACUACUCCUUUCUGAUGUCAGUAGCUGUUGCUUUGAGAUGCCAAAAUUUGUCCGCAUUUUCUAGCUGAAAAAUAAAGAAUGGAAACCCAAUGCUGUUUGAUGUGAGUAGGUGCAAUUUGUACUAGAAAAAGCUCGAAGUUAUGAGAUUGGUAGGUAAGGGCCAGGUACUCAUGUUCAGAUGCUCAGCUCCAUGCUAAACAAAAGCUUCAAGUUUUCAAAAAAACAAAACAAAACAAACAACAACAAACCAACAAAAAAGAAAAAAAAAACAGUCUUAUCUAUUUAGGCUAACUCCUAAAAACAAAAUUUUAAACAGCAAAUUUCAGCUUAUUCUUCAAUAUAUGAGAAUUGCUCUGAAGGUAAUGACUCCUAUCUUAUGAUGUUGGCCCACAAUGGAAAAAAAAAAAAAAAAAAAAAAAAAGGCAUCCACUGACAUUUGCUGAUGCUUACUGAAUGUUUAUGGUGGCCAAACAAUGGUGGUGCGGUGGUGCAUUUUAGCAGUGGCAACAGCAACAUGAAAGAUAAGCCACGUUCCAGUUACAUGGAUUUUCACAAGCACAGCAUCCAGACUCUUGUUCAUUACUGGCAAAAAUGCAUAGCUUACAGCGGUAUCUAUUUUGAGAAAUAGUGUUUUAUAGCUGAGAAUUUUCUCUACUGAAUAGUUUUACUGUGCUCUUUGUAUCUGUUGUAGUUUCCAUGGAAAUAAAUAGGAGGCAUUACUUGUGGAGUGUCCUACGUACAUACACCAUUUAAAUUAGAAAUACAGAAAAAAAAACCAACAGGUAAUUCAGUUUCAGGAUAACCACACUUUGCCAGUGUGGUUAUUACAAUUCAGAAAUAAUUGUGCUUGCUUUUGUCUGCCCCUUCACCCCUUUCAGCUGUGUCUUCUAUGACCACUCAAUUUGAAAAUGCUACAUUCUGGUACAUUAUCUGAGGAACAAAAAUACUUUAUCUGGGCUUACUGCUUUUAUUCAACACCCAGAACAAUCUAUGUCUAUUCCUUUAAGCUCCUUGGGAUGUGAAAAAAUAUGGUUACAUAAAUCUUUGUAAUCCUGAGGGGAGGAUAGCAUAUAAAGAGUUUACUGGCGUUAGGAUUAAGUCUAGUGUAUUACAAUGCAAUCUUUAAUCUGCUAAAAUCUACCUUGGUGUUGCAAGCUGUUUUGUGCUUGUAGAUGAAGUUUUGGAAAUAGGACACAGCUGGCAACACUGAUAGAACACCUUAAAAAAGGAAGAAAAGAAAGAAAAAAGACAAAAUCGGUGAAUCUACUAAUGAACAGAUUUGCCACUGCUCCUUGUACAGUGGGCUCUUAUGAGUCUAAAAAAUGACAGAUGAUGGAGGAAAUCCUUGUAACUGAAACUAGGAAGAAACAGUCACUAAAGUUGAAAACACCGCCAUAGUCACCACAGAAAAUCACAAAUGUGAAGCAAAACCCAUGUAACAUUGCCGUGCAAGCUGCAAGAGUCUUACUUGGUUUUGAGAUUCAUCAAUCCAAAUGAAUGUAACAAAUGAGUCUUAGGUACCUAAGAAAAAUGAAAAAUUCCUCAUGCUGAAAGAGACUUUGUUCUCUUUUGAUAAAUCUGUAUGAAAUGAUAACAUUGCUGCAGUCAUGUGCUACUUCAGAGAAAAAAAAUGGGGAAAAUGGCUAUUUUUAGGCAUUUUUCUAAAGAACACCACAGUUCUACUAUUUGAACUUGUCUAUUCCCAGUCAAACAUUUUCCUGUCAAGCUACACAUUACUUCUUCUGAGUUUAAAGAUUCAAAACCAAUGUAGAUCAGCAAUUAAUGCAUAGGCCUAACUGGGAGAGAGGCUGGGGCACAGGUUUCUAGCUCUGCAGCCUUGGCUAAAGCAUUUUUUGGGCACAGCUAUGUGCUCAGGAAAGAAAACAAAAUAUAAAGAUUUGCUUAAGAGCUACUGUGACCUAUGACAGUUAAAUAUCAGAUUAAAUGAAAAUCUAAUUAGGGCCUUAGGUAUUAAAUACAGUUGACCAAGGGAAGCCAAUUGAUGUUGUCUAUUUUGGACCUGCGUAAAGCUUCAGAUACUCUUUCUCUCAGUAUCCUUCUGGUCAAAAUGUCCAGCACACAGCUAGACAAAAAAACAUAAAGCAAUGGAUGAGCAACUGGCUGAUGGUAUGGGUUGAAGAGUUAUGUAUAAUAAGCUACAGUAAAUGGGUUUACAUCAGGCUAGCCAGCCACUAGUGGGGUUCCUCAGGGCUCCAUUAUAGGGCCACUUCGCUUUAAUGUUUCCAUAAAUGACUUGGAUGUAGGACUAGAAGGUGUUUUGAGCAAGUUUGCUGGUGACACUAAAUUGAGAGGAGCUGCUCACUCCAUCACAGGUGGCAAGGCCUUGCAGAGAGGUCUAGACAAAUGAGAGAGCUGUGCAGCCACCAACUGCAUGAAGAGCAAGUGCCAGAUUCUGCACUUGGGAAGGGGCAAACCUGGCUAUACAUACAAACUGGGGGAUGAGAUGGUGAAGAGCAGACCAGCUGAAAUCUGUUCUGGUCAUGGUUGACAGCAAGUUUAGCAUCAGUCAGCAGUGUGCCCAGGUGGACAGGAAGGCCAAUUGUAUCCUGGGAUGCAUCAAGCAUGGUCAAGGGAAUGGAUUGCCCCACUCUACAUGGCCCUGGUGCAGCCUCACCUUGAAUACUGGGUGCAGUUUGAGGCACUACACCACAAAAAGGACAUAAAACUAAUAAAAAGUACCCAAAGGAGGGCUAAAAAUAUGGUGACAAGUCUAGAUGGGAAGAGAUAUGAGGAGCAGCUGAAGUCCCCCGGUUUGUUCAGCCCAGAGUAGAGAAUGAGGAGAAACCUCAUUGCAGCCUAUUGCUUCCUCACAAGGGGGAAUGGAAGAGCAGGUGCUAAUCUCUGCUCUCUGGUGACAGGAACAGGACCAGAGGGAGUAGCACGGAGCUACAUCAGGGAAAGGUCAGAUUGAUUGUCAAGAAAAUGUUCUUCAACAAGAGGUUAACAGGCACUGGAAAAGGCUCCCCAUGGAAGUGUAAUGACAUUGAGUUUGCCAGAGUUCAGUAAGCAUCUGGAAAAUGCUCUCAGUCCUAUGAUCUGAUUUUUGGGUAGUCCUCUGUGAAUCCAGGGGUUGGACUCAAUGAUCAUUAUGGGUCUCUUCCAACUUGGGAUAUUCUGUGAUUCUAUACUGUAUCUGAAAAAAAGAGAGUUCAUGUGGGCCUUUUCCAUAGCUGAGAGCCCUAUAGGAACCUCACAUAGUGCAUCAAAAAAUAAAUAAUUAAGGUUUUCCCUUAAGCUCUUAAGUGAUAUUCAAAUUCUGAAACUGAAAACUACUGUUUCGAACAAUUCAAAGUCUGAACAAAUUAUUAGACAUCAGCAUAAAAUUCUGUACUUUCCUGGAAUGCUGCCAGGGUGUUGAGUUUUUUUUUUACUUUUCGUUUUGUUUAAUGGAGAUGCAUAUUUUUCUACAGCUAGGGUUGUUCCAUCUGCCCUUGUCAAGCUUUAAAUAUACUAGAGCUCGUUAGAGCUAAAUAUAAGCCUUAAUACACAGACUUAUGUUUAUCUUAUAAAAUUAUGCAAAUUAUCCUGCACAUAAACUGAUAUUGAUCAGUAUUUCUGUUAGAUAAGUUAAGCUUUAAGCAAAAUAGUUCCAGUCUUAGAAGGAAGCCUUAGCAGAAAGGAGUCAUGAGACUUCAGAAUCUACAAGAUUGUAAAGUAGUAGCUUUUCCUUCUUAUUUACUAGUUUGCAUUUCCAAAGCACUACACAAUCGUGAACAAAUUAAUCUAAGGCAUUACAGUGAAUUUUACAGAUAAGGACAUUAAAAGCCUUUAGUAAAUGUUUAAUUGAAAUAACUGCCAUACGUUAAUUCCAAGAAACUUGUUUCAGUAUCAGAAAGAUUUAGCAAACAUCUAGUGAGAGUGAACUCAAUAUGCCCCAGUGCAGAGAAUCUCACGUGCACUACCCUUCUCCCUCAGCUAGAAAGAACUGCUUUGAAAUGACAUCUUAAGAGUAAAUGAGGAGCACACUAAGAAUGGAAAGAAAUUAAUAAUACACAAGCCUAUGGAAUAGACAGAGCAUGUGCAGAAACCAUAUUCUUUAUGGCUGCCCCUUAGGCAACAGCACAGCUUUGCAUGGAGAAAAAGCUUUCACUUGGUCCUCACAGUAGUUCUGAAUCUAACUUCCAAAUCAAAGGAUUUGUACUCCUUUAAGCAAGAGUGACUGUCACCCCCUCCAGAAUGGUAAGUUAAUUCUAAUCACUCAGUAAAAUCUGGCAGAGGAUAGCCUGUGGUGAACUCAAAGGUUUUCUCACAGAACUGUGUUUUAAUGUAAAGCAUCACCGCUUCUGCAUUCUGUCAUCUGCCAAUGGGAAUCCAAUUGCUUCAGGAUCCCUACUAAACACCACUGUCAUAAAAUAAACUUUUAUAUUAAACUUCUGUUCCUGUGCAGUCAUUUUUGAACAAAGUGUCUGGCAUUUAACCAAUUGGUCUUUUCCUGGGUAAAGGUCAUAGAGAAAGAAGGAGGAUGUGAUCCUUCACAUCCAAUUAUCCACAUCUCGAGACAUGUUAUACUGGAAGAUUUUUGCCACAUCUCAUCUAUUAGGAUAACCCUUUCCCUAGCACAAUACCAAACUGUUGUGUUUCUGGAACUGAUAUCCAAUAGUGAUUUCAGUAGAAAAGAGUGGAUGGAAAAAAAAUUAAAUCUACUAGGAAAAAUAGGUCUUCACAUUUCACAAUAACAUGCAUAUUGCUUAUUAGCAGGCAUUUAGGUCAUAUAUGCACAGAGAGUCUAGCAGUCCAGCCGUGUGACUAUCCAGCCAGAAGCACACCAUCAGUUGGGUGGGCAGACCCAAGAACGCUUGCACAUCCUCUGUCAGCCUGGUUUGUUUCCAUAGAUGACUUUUUAAGAAAUGUCUCUUAACUGAUACUUUUGGCUUCCUAUGCAUGACAAGGUUAUGUUUGAUAAGUGCAUAAAUACACUAUGGUAUUUUAGAUUUCUUGCUUACCCAGUUUUGGGGGACAAAAGAUCUCUGAGUAAAAAAGAAUCUGGGAUAUUUUGAGAAUAUUCUCCAAGGGGGAGAAAAAGGAAGGCAGGUGGCAGAGUGAGAGCUAGGAAGGAGAGAGCAGAAGGGUGAAUAAUAUUAUAUUACUAAUGAAUGAUGGCCUGCUGGUGUGAACUUGAAGUGUUUUAAGAUCCACCCCAUCAAAGCUGAGAUUACCUGAAAAAUAUUUUCCUGAAUCUCUAAAAUAUUCUCAAAGUUUUGUAUUUGCCUCUCAUUCUUCAGGGUAACAUCCUCAAUUUUGGAUUAAAAGUAAAGUAUUUAAUCCUGGAACUGUUGUUUAUUCAGGCAACAAGCUGAAUUUCAUUCUUAUAUUGGUUCUUCUUAAAUAAACAUAGAUGUAUACCUGGAAUACUGAAGAUAUAUCUUGCAAAACAAUGAAUGAUAAUAAACAAUGAUAUGCUAUGAUGAUAAACAGUGAAACUGCUUAGAUAGUAAAUAGGUGGCAUUCCUAAAAGAAGUAAAGCUAGACAUGGACCAGCUUUUGCUUCUUCCUAUAUAUCUGCCCUUAAUAUUUGUGGACUUUUUGUUAUAAGUGAAUUUAAUGAGUGUCAUUCUGCACAUUUACUAAGUAAGGCAACAGGCACUGUGCAUAUUGGUCUGUGCUCAGAUAAAAUUUCAGUUAAAAUAUAUAUAUGAAUAACCAAAUAUACUCACUACAAGAGCACAUUAAAAAAUGGAAAACAAAAAAACACUCUGUUGAAUACUGUCUGGCUCUGUUUUGUGAAGGCCUUCCCAAAUCCUCUCCUAUCUUCACAAAAUCAGGAUAGUAUAUUCUCUUAUGUCUUAGCAAAAUAAAAAUGAUACCUGGCAUUUCAUCUGCUUAGUUGGCUCUGCUGUUAAGGGAUUUAAUUCCUCUCAGCAGAUAUACAAAUGAGAACAUUUGUCUUAGUCCUAGAGACAGAAUCAUUUAUGUUACACUGCUUUGCAUUAUGUUAAUAAUUUCUAUCCUAAGUGAAGUCACAGGAAGUGUUUGUCACUAUCUCCAAUGGGACUCAAAUUUAUUUGAUGUAUGUUUAGUAUAUAUAAAGUUCAGUCAUUUCACUAGAGUUCUUAUAUUCAUAAUGGAUAACAUUUUUCUCCAAUGCUUUUUUGAAAGGAGGAAAAAAAUUGCAUGCAUGCAUAUUCAUAAAAUACUACCACAGAAGAAUUAGAAUUGUGUACAAUUUGAAAGAGUGCUGAAUUACAGGUGGGGUUAAAACAACUUCACAUUAGUGAAAUAUCGUAUGGUGGCUUUCAUUAUUGAUUCUCUGUCAACAUCACGUUAGUUCUUUUCUAAAUCAGUUCUGUGGCUUGAACUUGAAAAGACCAUGAUGCGGAGUCCACAGGUUCAUUCUAAUUGCUCCUUUUCCUGGUAGACUCCACUGUGCCAGCCUGUCACUCAUCAAGACCAUUUGUCUGUGAACAGACUUAAUUAAGCACCUCAAAUCCAAUUUCUUUGAUCUUUUACACUAUUAAGGAAACACACUCAGUCCAUCAGCUAUGGAGAGUUUUCUAAAGAAAAACCUCCUGAAAACACCCACUGGUGUUAUUCUCCUCUGUUGAAAUAGAAAGUUCAAAAACAAGCAGGUGAAUUAGGAAGGGAAAAUAAAAUAAUUGGAGAGACAACAAAAAAAUUGUUAAAUCCUAAAUAUUCAGAAGAUUUAAGGAGUGAUUUACAGCACUUAUCAACUCUUGCACUUUUUUUCUCUCUCAAGAGAGAAAAAUAUCCAGUAGAGACUUGAUUUAAAUAUAAAUGUUUAGUUACCCUCCUUUCAGAAUUUAGCAGGCAAUUGCAUUUGUUUUUGUGAAAGAGGUAUGCACUUUCAGCAUCCUUUCUCACUGCUCAAAUAUCCAGCACAUUGAUAGAAAUGGUCAGGUGGAAACACUUUAAAAAUAAAUAACCAGAGUUUCAUGAAAAUAAUUCAAGAGCUGCUUUUGGGCUUUUUUAUUAACAUUCUUGCCAUUUACACUGUAUUGACUUAAUUAUUUUCAGAUAAUAUUUACCUGUGUCUACUCUUAUAAUUGCAUCUUAUGCAAAACUGUUUGCAUUCAUAAAAAGAUCUUAUCUCGCAGCUUUGUGACAGAGAUUAUUCUGCACUCAAUGGCUACUCACUGCACCAUCAACCAGAAACCAAAUUCAUAAUAUAGAUUGUUGUGAGUAAUAACUUUUAAGGAUUUUUUAAUAAUUAAUUUAUUAAUAAUGAUUUCAUUCCACACUGGGAAAUAAGUUAUUUGUAUUUUAGAAAAUACUGCUGCUAAAGGUGUUUUUCUGAAAGAAGAUCACUAGCUAUAGUUCAUUCUAUUGUUGUCAGGUAUUUUUCAUGCCUUGUUAGCUAAUUUCCUCUUCUUACUGUCAGUUAAAUAUUUUCCAGAAUUUCAUGGUUAUGGAAUGGAGAUCAGACUUCUGCAGCCAUAUCUGAAGAGCAGCUCCUGUGUGACAAACACUUAACUGGUUAAAGAGUGUUUUACAACUCUACGUAAGGCUGAAUUAACCAGAUAAAUAUUCAGGCCUAAACAUGGUCAUGGUACAAAGUUGAUUUGAAACAGAUAAAAAUUGCUAAUUCGAGCUUUGUGAAAACUUUACACAUAUAUUUGUAUAUAAAAUAUUUAGUUCUCUCUUUAGUUUGAGACUAUUUCUUCUAUUAACAAUUCAUUAUGGUCUAUGUAACAACAUACGUAAAUGAAGUAGAAAUGUCUUCAGUGACUACUGGGAUUGCUCAGUCUGGAGAAGAGGCUCAGAGGAGACCUUAUUGCUCUCUAUAGCUACCUGAAGGGAGGAUGUCGUGAGCUGGAGGUCGGCCUCUUCUCUCAUGUAACUAGUGAUAGGACUAGAGGGAAUGGCCUCAAGUUACUCCAGGGAAGAGUCUGGCGGGACAUUAGGAAAUACUACUUUUCUGAAAGAGUCAUCAGGUGCUGGAAUGGGCUGCCACCCAGAGAGAUGGCGGAGUCACCAGCCCCGGAGGUGUUCAAGGAAUGUUUAGACGCUGUGUUGAGGGACAUAGUUUAGUGAGAACUAUUGGUGAUAGGUGGACAGUUGGACUGGAUGAUCUUGUAGGUCUUUUCCAAUCUUAGCGAUUCUAUGAUUCCAUACUUCAUUGUAUACUACGAUUAUAACUAUCCUCAGACAAAAAAAAAUUAUGUGGCAAAUGUAGUACAUUUCCUAUGUUCCUUUUAGAAGCACUUUUUUGUCCUUCAGAAAACAAAAAUCAGAUUUAUUUUAGAGUUUACUUUUCUUAAAUUCCUAUCAGAUAAGACAGAUAUUUAUGCUAGAAAGUAGUAUAGAGUUUAUUUAAUUACUUUUCCAGUUUCUAUUCUCUAUUCUAUUUCAGUUCUCUCUCAGAAUAUAAGGUACAUUUGGAAGUUUGAAGAACUGUAGGACAAAACUUAUGAUGAAAGCUGAAAACUGGCAUUAGAUUUUAUUAAAUAAAUCAUCACUGCAAGAAGGUAGAAAUAAUCCUGAGCAAUGCUGUAAAUUCCACGUAGUCUCAAUUUGUUCUCACUUCAUUUUGCAGUAGUAUUCACAUGUGCUAGCUCAUAAGAGUUGAUAUCACUGUUAGUUAUUGCUGUGCUUUCUUCUAAUUACCACCAAAUUGUGACCACAGCAAACUACAUAUGUUUUUUAAAAUAUCACUCUUUUAGUUCUUCAUCCUUGAUGCAAACAUGAUGAGAAAUGUAUCUAUGCUUAUUAGGUGUCUUACAGCAAGGCAAAGUUACCCAUAUUAAGUCUCAGGAGAUAGGACUUUCUUCUGACCCAGAUAUUUACAAAACUGGAAGUCAAAGUACAGCAACAUGAGCAAUUGGACAAGUCAUCAGUAAGAGCUAAUGAGAAACUGUGUAAAAUGACAUAAUUCUAUUGGAUACUGAGAUGGUAUCAUUAGUAUGUAUUAAAAGACUCAGAGAGGGUUAAAUUAAGAAAUGAUGUGCCACUUUUCAUUAUCCCAAGGAAGUCCUGUAUACAGUAUAUCAUUAGAAACUAUUUACUGAAGCAAAAUAUCAAGCACACAUUGUGUAUCUCUUGAAUCAAGAUGUCAUAAAUAAAUAUUUUCAAGACAAAAUAAGCAAACUUGCACUUCAGUAGGCCAUGAAUCUGACCUCUUUAUCAUGUACUUCAAAAUAAAAUCACUGACUUCUUUUUUUUAACAGCCUUUGCUCACCAUCCACUAGAAUUUUCUGACAAAAAUCCCCACAAGGGCUCUGAGUUAAGGCGGGCUGAGCUAGCUGACACAACCAACUCUGAUUUCCAUUCAGUAUUCAGCUAGUUCCAGUCACCAAAGGGUCUUAAAUUAAGGUAACAUGAGAUAAGAGGGAAGAUCCUCACUGGGAUAACUAACUAAGAGAUUGGAAACAAAGAGCUUCAAUAAAUGGUCAAUUUUCUCAGUGAAUAGAAGGCACCAGUGGUAUCCCACAGGGAUCUUCACUGGGGCCAAAGCUGCUCGACAUGCUCGGGGCUGAUCAGGAGAACAGAAUGGAGAGCAGAUUAAGUUUGCUGUUGCUACCAAGUUUUCAUGGUAAGAAAAACAGAAACUGACUGCUAAAAAGAGAGUUGAAGAAAGACUCUGUGGCACUGAGUGAUUGGGGAUAAAAUGGCAGACGACAUUCAGACUACACAAAUGUAAAGUAAUGAACUUGGCAAAAAACAGCUCAUGCUGUGCCCAGUGAUUGAUUCUGAAUUCACUGCUACAUCAGACAAAAUAACAGCCUUAUGAAAAUAUCAGUUCAGUAGCUCAGGAAUCAUUAUCAGAGGAAAAUCUCAGAAAAUGUAAUGUUUUUGUGCAAAGUCAAUGCUAUGAUCAUAUCUUGAUUGUUAUGUAUAAUUCUGGUCCUUUCAUCUAGAAAAAGCACAGAGUAGAAUUUGAAAAAAAGGUGGACAAAGAUGAUCAAAGGUAACCAAAUAACUCACACAGAAGGGUGAUCUGUAAGAGCUGGGGCUCUCAAUCUAGAAAAGAGCCAACACAGAAGCACGUAAAAAUCACAGCAGACAAAUAGGAGAAUAAGGGAUAAACGAGCUGCCUCUUGCAUUGCAACAGGAAAGCCUCAGCUGGAAAUGAGCAUGUGGAAGUUCAACAUCAAAAACCAGACUGUGCACAGCUCAGUCAAACCUCUCUAAGCCUUGGCCAGUGAACAUCACUGAGUUGUGAAGAUUAUUCAUUUUAAAGAUCAAAGUGAACAAUUGCUUGAAGAAGCUCCAACUAAGUCCAUUAACAUUCCUUUUCCUGGGAAUCUCUUUUUGUACAAAGCUCAAAAUCCAGCCAAAAUCAUCAUGCAUUCAAGUGAUCAAUGAAUGAGCACUACAUACGGCAAUGAGGCAAUGAAGUUUAUAUUCAUUUCAUGAUCAUUUGCCACUUGAUUACAUGGAGUUAACUCACAGAGGAACUGCCUUUCCAAAGUUUCCCAGUCAAACUUGUAAUGAAUACUCCCCUCAUUUUGACUGAACUAUUUUGCUUUUUAAGGAAGUGAUACCUUUUCCUCAUUGCUGCCGUAUAGACUUGAGGAAAACUCUAGCAUUACAACAGAGUUCCAAAGGGCAAAGAAGACUUGACCACAGGACUGCUUGAUUAUAGCAGAGAACACAUGCAGUAUGAGCUUUGGACAAGUAAGAGAUACUGCUUAUGCAUCUGCUGCCCAGAAAAAUUUACAGCACAAAUGUUGUAUGAAUCAGUGUGAUAGCUGCUGUCAGCUACAAAUAUCAUCUACAUAUUACGCACCUACCACAUGCAAAAUACUCCCACAAUGAUCUUAUUAAAGAGGCUGUGCCAUACAUCAAAAUAAUGUUAUACCUACAGCAGCCUGUAGGUUCUAAAAUAUGCCCUUCCUGCUUAUUUUGUACACAGCGAAAAAUGACACACUUGUGAGUAAACUUGCUCAUUAAUUCUGACAGAUAAUUCUGAAUACACAGUUGAAACCUCAACUUAAGUAUCUGAAAGAUGUAGAAAUAGAAGUGUUCCAAAUGUUAGUGAAAAAGAAGGAGUAAGAGGUAGAGGAACAGAGAUGACAACAUAAUUAUUUGAGCUGUGCAGAAUUUUAGAUGGGUAAUAAUUAACUGAGUGGUGAAUGGCUCAGAUAAGAGAGAGAAAAAUCUCACAACCUUUUUUUGAGUAGUGUCUGAAAAUAUCUGGAUCCAAAACAGAAGACUGUUUUGCAACAAUCACUCCUGAGUUUCCCUCUUCCACCAGCUUUUCCCAUCUACCUCAUUGUCUAAAAAGCAAAAGAUACUCUGGACACAACCAUGUAAGAACUGAGGAAUAGUCUGUGCUCAUUCACAGCCUUAAGGAGAUCAGUGUUCAUUGAGAUGGGAGGAAAAGAGAAUCUCCAGAGUUUUGUCUCAAAAAGGCCCAACAAACUGCAGAGCUGUGUGUCUGUGGCUGAGGUCCAGCCAGCCUCAGUGCCUCCGAGCAGCACAGGUGGGAGUUCCUCCACAUUUGAAGCUGUGGUCCCAUGUGCAAUGGCCCAGCUUCCCAGCAGGGCUGCUGCCCUUGGAACACCAACCAGCAGUAGGAGAAGCCUCACUGCCUCUCCAUUCCUUACUCAGAGCUAAGGAUGUCCAAGUCUGAGGCUGAAAGGGGGAAGCAGCAGUCCCAGUCCUGCCAAGCAUGAAGAUACAGGGCCCAGAAGAGAUGUCAGCACAACGCAUUGUCAAGGAGAUGAGUUUUAUCUUGCAUGUCAGAAACCAGCUGUGAUUACUCCAGGUGCUGUGAUCUGACAGAAUCAAAGCAUUUCCUAGAACAGCUUUGUGCCAUGAGCUGAAGCUGCUUCUCAGGAAUCAAGUAGAUUCUCCUCCUCCACUGUCCCUUUGCUAUAUAAAACCUGCGCAUAAUCCACUCUUUCCCAUAUUUUUCAUGCAAAGCCAUUUACAUUAUUUGUUGAAAGGCCAGGCAAACACAUACAGCAUGCAAUUCAGUACAGUAAAUGUGAAAACAUUUGCCAUUAAUUAUUGUAACCCCCAAUAAUUGUGAUCCCCGUGCGAAAAGGUAAAGAUAAACCAUUACCUACAAAGAAUAUUUCAUUUUCUAUGUAAGGAGGUGGCAGUGGAAGCUUGCUAGCAAUAAGUAGCCAGGACAGUAAUCUGAAAGUUUAUAUAUGUAGCUAGUGCUCCAGCCAGCAGAUAAUGCAGGCAAUUAGUGCUACUGUUAAUGUGCCUGCAUGCCUCAUUUCUGGAGAUGCAUGCUGAGCGCUCUCCUCUUAAGGUGGCUUCAGCAAGUGGUCCCUAUUUAACAGACACAGCUGUAUGCAAGGAAAGCAGAUCUUUCAGGAGGACAAGCCACAGUUUUAACUUGUUCUUGGUGUCAGAGCAGCAAUUGCAGUGAAAUGGAAGGAAAAAAACUAAACAAGUAUACAUCUACUAUAGACAGAUGGCUAAUAAAAAUUUGGGGAGCUCUUUCAAUACAGAAAUUGAGUAGUUUAAAAAGACACCUACAUAACAAAUGCUUGGACAUGUUGUCUCCUUUUAUAGAACACAAACAUUUGCCCUUUAACUCAGCAGCUCAACUAUUUGUUCCUUUGCUACUUAUUCUAUGCAAAGCUUCAAAACAGGCAUACAGCCAAUAUUUAACCUUUACUAUAUAACGUAAUGAACCCACCCAAACAAUAGGUGCAGCAAAUAUUAACAACUAAAGUGCCAUACUCAACUACAGCAAUGAAUUUUUAUGGUGAAGAUCCUGGAUUUCUGCCCUAUCGUGCCAGGUGUAGAGUAGUCCCUAUGAAUUAGCAGGUUGCAAUAACCCGUAAAUACGCAUCUCAGCCUGCUGAGGUUUAUGCACGCCUGCAAACAUCUGCUUUUGUUUUGUACUUCCAUCUGAAGACAAGAACAAAUAUUUCUAUUUCCUCUCAAAUGUUGACAGGUGAAUCAGUGUUUCAACAUUAAAGUAGGUCAGCCCACGUUGCAUUAUUCAGUGUAGCAGCAUGACACUUCUCAAUGAUAAAAUAUUGUCUAAUACUAAUUUGAAGUGAUACAAGCAUAUAUCUGCUUUCUGCAGAAGAAAAGUUGCUUUAAUUUGAAAUUGUCCCUCCUCCGUCUGGAAGGAAAACGUGAAGGAUUACAAAUCAAUUCUUAUUGCCUGCCUAUCCUCCUCAUCCUAGUCUAUAGCUGUGCAAGCCCACAAUUUGAGGACAAGCAAAUGUCUGCUCUGAGGAAGUACAAGUGACAGCUGAUGUACAGGGGUAGCAGCAGCUCCAAAAAAAGAAUUAAAGCUACCUCACAUGCAACAAACUUCUGGGAAUCUCCCCCAACCAUUUACAGAGUCACAAUCACAGCAUUUUCUAUUCCCUAAAGUGAUUUCUCUCCCCUCUCACAUUCUUUUCUGCAUAAUCUAGGGAAUUAUUCAUGAAUUAGGAAAAUCACUGUUUGUACACAAUUUCAAACUUUAUAUUAUGGCAUAGCCAGUCUAAAAUGUCACUUGUUGUUGCACUGUAGAAAAUAGACUCAAUAUGUGUUCAUUUAUCUUUAUGUUCAAGUAGAUACAUGAGGGCUGCUCUGAAAGCAUUGCAUUCCAUUUUAUGCUGUUUGCCCAUAAUAUCAGGGGCAGAUAUUGGUGGGAUGGGAGUAGAGGCUAAACCUUUCCACCAAUAUUCCAUUACAUUGUGUUGCUAUGUGACAGAUGGCAGCAGAGGGGCAAUCUGACAGAAUGGUGUCUGAUAUGGAAGAGCAUAUGGAUUAAAGGGGUGAUCAGGAGUGAAUGCCCCCCUGCAGAUAAAAUGGCACCCAAUGACAUUCGCCGAUGCUUACUGGAUGGUUAUUGGGACCAAAUAGUGAACGUGAACAAAGUGAGGCAGUGGGUGGUGUGUUUCUGCAGUGAUGACACCAAUGUGAAAGACAAACCACGUUCCAUGCACAGCUGUCACACCAUGAAAUGAAGAGCAUUUCAGUCAGCUCAUCCACAUAAAUUUGUGGAUUAUGAUGAUGGAACUGUGUAUGGAGCUGAAUAUCAGCUCCAAUACGUUGGAAACUAUAGUGGAAACAUUGGAAUAUCGCAAAGUUUACACCAGGUGGGUCCUCCAAAUGCUCACAGAGGAUUAGAAAGAACACUGUAUGCAAGUUUGUCAAAACCUAUUGAACCAAUAUGAAGUAAAGGUUACAGUUUCCUGGAUCACAUCAUUACUGGUGAUGAGACCUGGUAUCAGCAUUACAAGCCAGAGUCAAAACAGCACGCCCACAGAGUGGUGACAUGUGACUUCACCAUCAAAGAAAAACUGCAGGAUGCAGCCCCUCAGUACAUAAAUUGAUGUGCACUGUUUUUGGGGAUAAGAAAGAGAUGAUCCUUCUGGAUUUCCUGGAAUUCAGACAAACCACCAACUCCAGCCACUAUGUUCUGAUGCUGACUAAGCUGAAGGCUCAAACUUCCAGAGGUAGGCCAGAGAACAAGACAAUCUUUCUUUCACAACAAGGUAAUGCCAGGCCCCAUUCCAGUUUGAACAACAUGGAGCACAUUGCCAAUCUUGGCUGGACCUACCACACCUACCAUAUUUGGUGCCUUCUAAAUUCCAUCUGUUUGGGCCAAUGAAAGGUGGACUGUGUGGGCAACAUUUUUCUAGCAGUGACACCAUCAUAGCAGCUGUGAAACAGUGGGUCACCUUCACUGGUCCAGAUUUCUACGUAUGUGGCAUGCAGGUUCUUGUUCAUCACUGGUGAAAAUGCAAAGCUAAUGGUAGUGACUGUUGAAAAAUAGUGCUUUGUAGCUGAGAAUUUGCUCUAUCAAAUAGUCAUUGUGUUCUUCAUAUCAGUUGUAGUUUCCAUGGAAAUAAAUAGGAAACAUUAUUUUUGGAGCAACCUAUGCACUAAAAAAAUAUACCUGAAAAUAUCCUUCAAAAUGAAACAGCCUAUGAUCAUAGUUGCAGCUGAUGAGAUGGAAGAAAAAUCCUAGAACCUGUUACUGUAAUAUUAGCAGAGAUAGUAGAUGUGGAUUUAUCCAAGGGUAGAGAUGUAAAAGUUAAGUCUUUCUCUAACAGUAAUGCCUCCUCCCCAUUAGCAGUAUACUCCUCUACAUCGGUUUUAUUUGCUUCUGGCCCUUACCAGAUACAACAGCAGACACUUCAGCUCUUCUCCAACACACAUCAUAAAACCUCUAAAAAGAUGAAGGGAUAAGAACUGGAUGGAGAGAAGGGGGCUAUGCUAAACAUACAACACUGGUUAACUCCCCAUAGAAAUCCAUGCUGAUGUAAACUGAUGUUAUUCUAUAAAAAUUAAAAUAACUGUUUACAGCAAGAUCUGUUUCUGAUUUUUAAAGCUUUUCAGAUUAACAAGAAAAACUCA
ensembl:lncRNA